GUUUCCGAACUCGCUUCGGCGAUACAUGUACUAAAAUUGGAACGAUAACGGAAGAUUAGCAAGGACCCUGCGCGAGAAUGACAUGCAAGAAACUAGUAGACGAAAAUUCA